UGCAUGUCUAAGUAUAAGCGAUCUUAUACGGCGAAACUGCGAAUGGCUCAUUAAAUCAGUUAUAGUUUAUUUGAUGGUCUCUCACCACUUGGAUAACCGUGGUAAUUCUAGAGCUAAUACAUGCGUCGAGUCCCGACUCUCGCGGAAGGGAUGUAUUUAUUAGAUUCAAAACCAAUGCGGGGCCCCGGUCCCGGUCUUUUGGUGAUUCAUAGUAACUGUUCGGAGCGCAGGGCCUCUUGCGCCGGCGCCGGAUCAUUCAAGUUUCUGCCCUAUCAACUGUCGAUGGUAAGGUAUUGGCUUACCAUGGUUGCAACGGGUGACGGAGAAUUAGGGUUCGAUUCCGGAGAGGGAGCCUGAGAAACGGCCACCACAUCCAAGGAAGGCAGCAGGCGCGCAAAUUACCCAAUCCCGACACGGGGAGGUAGUGACAAUAAAUAACAAUACAGGGCUUUCGUAAGUCUUGUAAUUGGAAUGAGAACAAUUUAAAUCCCUUAACGAGGAACAAUUGGAGGGCAAGUCUGGUGCCAGCAGCCGCGGUAAUUCCAGCUCCAAUAGCGUAUAUUAAAGUUGUUGCAGUUAAAAAGCUCGUAGUUGGAUUUCGGCGGCGCGGCGUCGGGCCGCCUGGCGGCGUGGCACUGGCGCCGCGCGGCUUUCUCUCGAGGGCCGCGCGGGCUCUUGAGGGAGCGUGCGCGUUACUCGGGACGUUUACUUUGAAAAAAUUAGAGUGUUCAAAGCAGGCUUGG
rnacentral:rRNA from 1 species